GACACUACCCACCUGGUGGACUGCUUUGCC
rnacentral:piRNA from 1 species